ensembl:lncRNA
AUGGACACGGGCCAUGCUGGACCUCAUCCCGUGUUGAGAGAUCCCACACGCAGGCGUGGAAGUGCACCGGAGUCCUUCAGCUCCUCAAUUUCAUCCAUCACUAUCACUUCCAGGAAGGUCACACAGAUUUCCAAGCCUUUGUGUACAACGAUGAAUGACCUCGCCGAUGGACGAAGAAAAGCCUUAGUGGUCAAAGUCACCGAACAGAGAACGACAAGCACCACCAGCCGGCCCAUCAUCUCUGCCUCUGGCUAUAAUCAUGAAGAGAUUGACCACGGCGUGGUACUCAGGAGAAAGGCAACCAUUGUGAAAAUGACCGAACAGAGAGAGUGUUUCAGUCCAUCACAAUACAGACACAGCUACACUGAAGGACUCAAUGAAGCCCAGUUAAGGAAUGAAUCUGAAGUCAAUCCCUCACCAUUAAACCAAACACUCACUAUAUCUUUAGAGCCAGGAGGAAACCAGUGGAGGUCCCAGCACAGAUCUAGCCUGUCUCUUUACCUUAACAACCUAAAUACUAGCAGCACAGCAAGGGAGAGCAACACCAAAAAAUACAAGCCACCUCGAAGGCCUCUCAGCUGCGACCCAAGCUUGUUUAACUGCACAGAACUUGGCACUAAUGCAGUUAAACAUCCAGCAUUUUACAACAAAAGCUCUCCUGUUCCCCAGAAGACAAAUAUUGACCUUGUUAGUUCCAGCAGCAGUGAAGCAAGAAGGUGCUCAGCCUCCAGUGGCGAGGACGGGAGCGCAGGGAAAGAGGGAUUGGAGUUGGAUCGAAGGCUUGAGGAGCGAGAGGGACCUAUUUCAGGAAUCAAACCUCUCACGCUACUCAAAGCAGCAGAUAACUCAGCUGAUCUGAGCGCAGACGCCGUCCUGGCCCUGAACGCCGCUGCGGUUAUUGCCAACAUAAAGCUGCAGGCCCAGCAGAGACGAACUACAUCCCACAGAGCAACAGCAGAGGUUAGAGGGCAAAAUGAACACGGGGAGCUCAAAGAAGAGGCUGCUGGUGCUAAUGGAAAGGACAAAACAUGUCCAGUAGAACAAUGUGUGGAUUUUGUCCCAUUUGAGUCCGAAAAUGACCUUUGUGAAACUGCUUUGGCUCCACUGUCCCUUAGCGAGGCUUUAGCGAUCAGACGGCCUGAUUUCAUCCGGCACUCGCAGGCCAGAGUUCAAGCCCUGGAGAGGAGGUUGCAGGAGAGUCUGAGCUCCCACAGCUCACCGCAGACACCUGAGAGCGGAGAAUGCCUUGUGAAAUCCAAAGACAGACGCAUCAUGGGAAAGAGUCUACAGCUGUGGUCCAGGAGGAGUUAUAACCAGCUCCCUGAAGUGAAGAAGAGGAGAGAGGAAGAAAAGAGGAAAAAAGAAGAAGAGAAAAGAAAACUGGCAUCUCGGACCAACAGGCUGCGGGCAGAGCUCUUUAAAAAGGUAGACAUAUUGUUUUACAGAUGUGUAGGACUGAUCUGA